GCGGGUGUAGUUCAAUGGUAGAACUUCAGCCUUCCAAGCUGACUACGUGGGUUCGAUUCCCAUCACCCGCUCCA
rnacentral:tRNA from 106 species